rnacentral:rRNA from 1 species
UACGUAGGGUGCAAGCGUUGUUCGGAUUCAUUGGGCGUAAAGGGUGCGUAGGUGGCGUGGUAAGUCUGGUGUGAAAUCCCGGGGCUCAACCCCGGAACUGCACUGGAUACUGCCAUGCUUGAGUACUGGAGAGGAGAUUGGAAUUUACGGUGUAGCAGUGAAAUGCGUAGAUAUCGUAAGGAAGACCAGUGGCGAAGGCGAAUCUCUGGACAGUUACUGACACUGAGGCACGAAGGCCAGGGGAGCAAACGGG